UGACUUGUAAAAGUUGUAAUGGUAUCAAUCCAAAUAACCUUUCUUUUUAUAGCCCCGCGGAGUCUCUCUCCUCUCGUUCCCCACCCAUUCCCUCUUACCAUAUUUAUCCCUCUCUGCACAGAUCUCAGCAGCAGCGGCACGAACUCUACCACGAGCUCACGCAGCGACGGCUCCGGCAAGUGAACACGCAGCGGCAAAUCCUGGUGGAGUGGUGGCAUUACGAGGCAGAGCGGAGCAGCAUAGCAGUGGAUCCAGAUGGAGCGAGCGGCACGGGGCACUGGGACGGCGGAUCCAGGAACCUCCCGAGCUUGGACGGUCUCCUCCUUUUCUGGGGCUGCUGCUGCCACACGCUUCCCUGCGAGGCUGCGACGGCCGGCGCCUGCGCGGCGCUCCCCCCUUCGCAGUCGGUUGGGUGCCAUGGCCAUGGUGCCCGCCCGGGGGCGCCUCCCCACUGCUGGUGCUCCGGGGGCUCCCGGGGGCACUUUUGGCCGUUCUGCGGCUGGUGCCUCCCAAUGGCUCGUCGUGGCGGCUCCCAUCCCAUAGGUGGUCGACGUCGUCCAUGGCCUCCACUCAUCGUCGGCCUGCUGAUGUUCGCUUUAGAUCUACUUCACCCCGCCCGGAGAGGAAACAUCUUGUGUCUGUGUUUUGUGUCAUCCUCUUCGCUAUGUACUGCUCUAUUGUGAUGUUUUUUUUUUUUGAACGUAACUGCUCUAUUGUGAUGUUGCAGGGCUCAUAUUUGCGGAUGCUUGGCUGCCGCUGGCGAUUUUGAUGGAUGCUUUGUCGCCAUUGUUUUACGUCUCCUAUGAGGAUGUUUUGCCGCUGUUGACAUGGUCAUUGCUAGAUGUUCUGGGCUCUACUUUGCCAUCACGGCAAUUCUGAUUUGGCAUUAUGUUUAGAUAGUCAUGGCAUUGAGGUUUCUAUCUUAUAGACUCAGUUGUACUAAUCAUCUAGUUAGGUUUCAGGUUGUUUGGGUUCCUUUAUUUUCAUGCUAUUUUGUUUCAGUUUAGGUCGCUUAUCACCAGUUUGGUGGUUUGUUCACUGCGCUACGAGGGCUCUCUCGUAGUAGGAUCAUAUAAUUCACCUCCUCUCAAUAAGAAACGUACUCAGGCACGGUUUUGAAAAAGGUUCCGACGACCAGUGCUGCUCUCUCCUUGCUUCCUUCCGCUGCAAUGAGAGGAGCCACAACUGCCGAAGCGUGUCAGCUUCAACAGCGCCGCACCAACCCUCCCUUGGUUGAAUGGAUAUAGCUUUCAUCAGAAACUUUUCUGAUGUGAAUGAUUCAAACUGAAUGAUCAACACCAGGCAGGGCAAGCUGAAAAAUUAAACUGAAUCAUUGAAUGAAUAGUUGGUGUAACUUUUAUGUUUCAGUUUGAUAGUGCUUACUCAUACAUACUGAUGAAGUUCGCACCUAAUGUGUGGCCUCUUUCAUUUAGUUUGGCUGAAACAAAGUUUCGGCAGUGGAGCACUAUGGAAGGGUAACUGAAGAUUGCUAAUUAGAUGGGUAGUGUAUGUCUUUUGGAUGUAAUAGAGUAAAGUUAACCAUGCAUGUAAUCUGAUUUAUUCUUGAGGUACUUGUGUACACAAAGACAUGAAAAAUAUAUGUGGUGAACUAAUGUUCUAGAUGUCAAUGUAAUAAAAGCAGAUAUUUAUCUA